rnacentral:lncRNA from 15 species
AUGAAGACAUACAGGAUCUCCCUCGCUGUCCGGGCACUCAGGUGUUUGGUUACUGCUGGGUGUCAUACUGCUCCAGAUGUGACCUCUCCGGACCUCCUGGCAUCCCCACACUACCAGCCUCCCCAGCAGGUUGCUGCUCCUGCUGCUGGUGUGCUGAAAAUCAGGUAUUCAGAUAUCUGAAUGUGCGAAGCAUCUGGGAAUUUGUGAACAUGAAAGUAUUUUGCUUAACUAAGCCCCAGUUGAUUUACAGAGAGUUGGAUUUCAUCCAUGCACAUAUAUUGUGAAAAAAUAUAUACAGCAUUUCAGCAGUAAGAGUAACCUACAUUGAAAUAAGUCUCCGUGUAACAAAAUGAUCUCAAUUCAACAUUUCAGCUUGCAUCAAACUGCAUCUUGAUGCAGAUGAAACUGGCUCAGGUGUCAUCACAUGACCAAGGUGUGAAAUGUCAGUCAUGUGGAUACAGGUUACCAGGAAUACGGGGCAGGGUCAAACUGAGGUAAAGUUAUUUUAAAAUGGCAUUUUAAAG